CCUACGGGAGGCAGCAGUGAGGAAUAUUGGUCAAUGGACGGAAGUCUGAACCAGCCAUGCCGCGUGCAGGAAGACGGCUCUAUGAGUUGUAAACUGCUUUUGUACAAGGGUAAACCUGAAUACGUGUAUUCAGCUGAAAGUACUGUACGAAUAAGGAUCGGCUAACUCCGUGCCAGCAGCCGCGGUAAUACGGAGGAUCCAAGCGUUAUCCGGAUUUAUUGGGUUUAAAGGGUGCGUAGGCGGAUUGAUAAGUUAGAGGUGAAAUGUCCGAGCUUAACUCGGGAACUGCCUCUAAUACUGUUGAUCUAGAGAGUAGAUGCGGUAGGCGGAAUGUAUGGUGUAGCGGUGAAAGGCUUAGAGAUCAUACAGAACACCGAUUGCGAAGGCAGCUUACCAAUCUAUAUCUGACGUUGAGGCACGAAAGCGUGGGGAGCAAACAGGAUUAGAUACCCCUGUAGUC
rnacentral:rRNA from 1 species